rnacentral:lncRNA from 1 species
GCCUUGGAGGGGGGCGCGGCCGAUUUUCGUCCGCCGGACUCGGAAUGGGGCGAGACUUUGCGAGGGGCCUCGGAGUGCCAAAAAUAAGCCGCGGGCAAAGCCGCGCCCAAAAAUAAGUGCCCGAAGGUCGUGGUGCCAAAACCCCCCAGCGGAAAAAUGGCCAAAAAACGGGUGGGCUAUAGCCUUGGUGGUGGGCGCGGGCAAAGUUCGUCCGCCGGACUCGGAAUGGGGCGAGACUUUGCGAGGGGCCUCGGGGUGCCCGCGGGAAGUCGCGGGCACAGCCGCGUCCAAAAACAAGCGCCCGAAGGUCGUGGUGCCAAAACCCCCCAGCGGAAAAAUGGCCAAAAAACGGGUGGGCUAUAGCCUUGGUGGGGGGCGCGGGCGAAGUUCGUCCGCCGGAUUCGGAAUGGGACGAGACUUUGUGAGGGGCCUCGGGGCACCAACAAUAAGCCGCGGGCAAAGCCGCUCCCAAAAAUAAGCGCCCGAAGGUCGUGGUGCCAAAACCCCCCAGCGGAAAAAUGGCCAAAAAACGGGUGGGCUAUAGCCUUGGUGGGGGGCGCGGGCGAAGUUCGUCCGCCGGACUCGGAAUGGGGCGAGACUUUGCGAGGGGCCUCGGGGUGCCAAAAAUAAGCCGCGGGCAAAGCCGCGCCCAAAAAUAAGCGCCCGAAGGUCGUGGUGCCAAAACCCCCCAGCGGAAAAAUGGCCAAAAAACGGGUGGGCUAUAGCCUUGGUGGGGGGCGCGGGCGAAGAUCAUCCGCCGGACUCGGAAUGGGGCGAGACUUUGCGCGGGGCCUCGGGGCGCCAAAAAUAAGCCGCGGGCAAAGCCGCGCCCAAAAAUAAGUGCCCGAAGGUCGUGGUGCCAAAACCCGCCAGCGGAAAAAUGGCCAAAAAACGGGUGGGCUAUAGCCUUGGUGGGUGGCGCGGGCGAAGUUCGUCCGCCGGACUUGGAAUGGGGCGAGACUUUGUGAGGGGCCUCGGGGUGCUCGCGGGAAGUCGCGGGCACAGCCGCGUCCAAAAAUAAGCGCCCGAAGGUCGUGGUGCCAAAACCCCCCAGCGGAAAAAUGGCCAAAAAACGGGUGGGCUAUAGCCUUGGUGGGGGGCGCGGGCGAAGUUCGUCCGCCGGACUCGGAAUGGGGCGAGACUUUGCAAGGGGCCUCGGGGUGCCAAAAAUAAGCCGCGGGCAAAGCCGCGCCCAAAAAUAAGUGCCCGAAGGUCGUGGUGCCAAAACCCCCCAGCGGAAAAAUGGCCAAAAAACGGGUGGGCUAUAGCCUUGGUGGGCGGCGCGGGCGAAGUUCGUCCGCCGGACUCGGAAUGGGGCGAGACUUUGCGAGGGGCCUCGGGGUGCCAAAAAUAAGCCGCGGGCAAAGCCGCGCCCAAAAAUAAGUGCCCGAAGGUCGUGGUGCCAAAACCCCCCAGCGGAAAAAUGGCCAAAAAACGGGUGGGCUAUAGCCUUGGUGGUGGGCGCGGGCGAAGUUCGUCCGCCGAACUCGGAAUGGGGCGAGACUUUGCGAGGGGCCUCGGGGUGCCCGCGGGAAGUCGCGGGCACAGCCGCGUCCAAAAACAAGCGCCCGAAGGUCGUGGUGCCAAAACCCCCCAGCGGAAAAAUGGCCAAAAAACGGGUGGGCUAUAGCCUUGGUGGGGGGCGCGGGCGAAGUUCGUCCGCCGGACUCGGAAUGGGGCGAGACUUUGCGAGGGGCCUCGGGGUGCCCGCGGGAAGUCGCGGGCACAGCCGCGCCCAAAAAUAAGCGCCCGUAGGUCGUGGUGCCAAAACCCCCCAGCGGAAAAAUGGCCAAAAAAUGGGUGGGCUAUAGCCUUGGUGGGGGGCGCGGGCGAAGUUCGUCCGCCGGACUCGGAAUGGGGCGAGACUUUGCGAGGGGCCUCGGGGUGCCCGCGGGAAGUCGCGGGCACAGCCGCGUCCAGAAAUAAGUGCCCGAAGGUCGUGGUGCGAAAACCCCCCAGCGGAAAAAUGGCCAAAAAACGGGUGGGCUAUAGCCUUGGUGGGGGGCGCGGGCGAAGUUCGUCCGCCGGACUCGGAAUGGGGCGAGACUUUGCAAGGGGCCUCGGGGUGCCAAAAAUAAGCCGCGGGCAAAGCCGCGCCCAAAAAUAAGUGCCCGAAGGUCGUGGUGCCAAAACCCCCCAGCGGAAAAAUGGCCAAAAAACGGGUGGGCUAUAGCCUUGGUGGGGGGCGCGGGCGAAGUUCGUCCGCCGGACUCGGAAUGGGAUGAGACUUUGCGAGGGGCCUCGGGGCACCAAAAAUAAGCCACGGGCAAAGCGGCGCUCAAAAAUAAGCGCCCAAAGGUCGUGGUGCCAAAACCCCCCAGCGGAAAAAUGGCCAAAAAACGGGUGGGCUAUUGCCUUGGUGGGGGGCGCGGGCGAAGUUCGUCCGCCGGACUCGGAAUGGGGCGAGACUUUGCGAGGGGCCUCGGGGUGCCCGCGGGAAGUCGCGGGCAUAGCCGCGCCCAAAAAUAAGCGCCUGAAGGUUGUGGUGACAAAACCCCCCAGCGGAAAAAUGGCCAAAAAACGGGUGGGCUAUAGCCUUGGUGGGGGGCGCGGGCGAAGUUCAUCCGCCGGACUUGGAAUGGGGCGAGACUUUGCGAGGGGCCUCGAGGUGCCCGCGGGAAGUCGCGGGCACAGCCGCGUCCAGAAAUAAGUGCCCGAAGGUCGUGGUGCCAAAACCCCCCAGCGGAAAAAUGGCCAAAAAACGGGUGGGCUAUAGCCUUGGUGGGGGGCGCGGGCGAAGUUCGUCCGCCGGACUCAGAAUGGGGCGAGACUUUGCGAGGGGCCUCGGGGUGCCCGCGGGAAGUCGCGGGCACAGCCGCGUCCAGAAAUAAGCGCCCGAAGGUCGUGGUGCCAAAACCCCCCAGCGGAAAAAUGGCCAAAAAACGGGUGGGUUAUAGCCUUGGUGGGGGGCGCGGGCGAAGUUCGUCCCGCCGGACUCGAAAUGGGGCGAGACUUUGCGAGGGGCCUCGGGGCACCAAAAAUAAGCCGCGGGCAAAGCCGCGCCCAAAAAUAAGCGCCCGAAGGUCGUGGUGCCAAAACCCCCCAGCGGAAAAAUGGCCAAAAAACGGGUGGGCUAUAGCCUUGGUGGGGGGCGCGGGCGAAGUUCGUCCGCCGGACUCGGAAUGGGACGAGACUUUGCGAGGGGCCUCGGGGGGCGAAAAAUAAGCCGCGGGCAAAGCCGUGCCCAAAAAUAAGCGCCCGAAGGUCGUGGUGCCAAAACCCCCCAGCGGAAAAAUGGCCAAAAAACGGGUGGGCUAUAGCCUUGGUGGGGGGCGUGGGCGAAGUUCGUCCGCCGGACUCGGAAUGGGGCGAGACUUUGCGCGGGGCCUCGGGGCACCAAAAAUAAGCCGCGGGCAAAGCCGCGCCCAAAAAUAAGCGCCCGAAGGUCGUGGUGCCAAAACCCCCCAGCGGAAAAAUGGCCAAAAAACGGGUGGGCUAUAGCCUUGGUGGGGGGCGCGGGCGAAGAUCAUCCGCCGGACUCGGAAUGGGGCGAGACUUUGCGCGGGGCCUCGGGGCGCCAAAAAUAAGCCGCGGGCAAAGCCGCGCCCAAAAAUAAGUGCCCGAAGGUCGUGGUGCCAAAACCCGCCAGCGGAAAAAUGGCCAAAAAACGGGUGGGCUAUAGCCUUGGUGGGGGGCGUGGGCGAAGUUCGUCCGCCGGACUCGGAAUGGGGCGAGACUUUGCGCGGGGCCUCGGGGCACCCAAAAUAAGCCGCGGGCAAAGCCGCACCCAAAAAUAAGCGCCCGAGGGUCGUGGUGCCAAAACCUCCCAGCGGAAAAAUGGCCAAAAAACGGGUGGGCUAUAGCCUUGGUGGGGGGCGCGGGUGAAGUUCGUCCGCCGGACUUGGAAUGGGGCGAGACUUUGCGAGGGCCCUCGGGGUGCCCGCGGGAAGUCGCGGGCACAGCCGCGUCCAGAAAUAAGCGCCCGAAGGUCGUGGUGCCAAAACCCCCCAGCGGAAAAAAGGCCAAAAAACGGGUGGGCUAUAGCCUUGGUGGGGGGCGCGGGCGAAGUUCGUCCGCCGGACUCGGAAUGGGGCGAGACUUUGCGAGGGGCCUCGGGGUGCCCGCGGGAAGUCGCGGGCACAGCCGCGUCCAGAAAUAAGCGCCCAAAGGUCGUGGUGCCAAAACCCCCCAGCGGAAAAAUGGCCAAAAAACGGGUGGGCUGUAGCCUUUGGUGGGGGGCGCGGGCGAAGAUCGUCCGCCGGACUCGGAAUGGGGCGAGACUUUGCGCGGGGCCUCGGGGCGCCAAAAAUAAGCCGCGGGCAAAGCCGCGCCCAAAAAUAAGUGCCCGAAGGUCGUGGUGCCAAAACCCGCCAGCGGAAAAAUGGCCAAAAAACGGGUGGGCUAUAGCCUUGGUGGGGGGCGUGGGCGAAGUUCGUCCGCCGGACUCGGAAUGGGGCGAGACUUUGCGCGGGGCCUCGGGGCACCCAAAAUAAGCCGCGGGCAAAGCCGCACCCAAAAAUAAGCGCCCGAAGGUCGUGGUGCCAAAACCUCCCAGCGGAAAAAUGGCCAAAAAACGGGUGGGCUAUAGCCUUGGUGGGGGGCGCGGGUGAAGUUCGUCCGCCGGACUUGGAAUGGGGCGAGACUUUGCGAGGGGCCUCGGGGUGCCCGCGGGAAGUCGCGGGCACAGCCGCGUCCAGAAAUAAGCGCCCGAAGGUCGUGGUGCCAAAACCCCCCAGCGGAAAAAAGGCCAAAAAACGGGUGGGCUAUAGCCUUGGUGGGGGGCGCGGGCGAAGUUCGUCCGCCGGACUCGGAAUGGGGCGAGACUUUGCGAGGGGCCUCGGGGUGCCCGCGGGAAGUCGCGGGCACAGCCGCGUCCAGAAAUAAGCGCCCAAAGGUCGUGGUGCCAAAACCCCCCAGCGGAAAAAUGGCCAAAAAACGGGUGGGCUGUAGCCUUGGUGGGGGGCGCGGGCGAAGUUCGUCUGCCGGACUCGGAAUGGUGUGAGACUUUGCGAGGGGCCUCGGGGUGCCCGCGGGAAGUCGCGGGCACAGCCGCGCCCAAAAAUAAGCGCCCGAAGGUCGUGGUGCCAAAACCCCCCAGCGGAAAAAUGGCCAAAAAACGGGUGGGCUAUAGCCUUGGUGGGGGGCGCGGGCGAAGUUCGUCCACCGGACUCGGAAUGGGGCGAGACUUUACGAGGGGCCUCGGGGUGCCCGCGGGAAGUCGCGGGCACAGCCGCGUCCAGAAAUAAGCGCCAGAAGGUCGUGGUGCCAAAACCCCCCAGCGGAAAAAUGGCCAAAAAACGGGUGGGCUAUAGCCUUGGUGGGGGGCGCGGGCGAAGUUCGUCCGCCGGACUCGGAAUGGGGCGAGACUUUUCGCGGGGCCUCGGGGCGCCAAAAAUAAGCCGCUGGCAAAGCCGCGCCCAAAAAUAAGCGCCCAAAGGUCGUGGUGCCAAAACCCCCCAGCGGAAAAAUGGCCAAAAAACGGGUGGGCUAUAGCCUUGGUGGGCGGCGCGGGCGAAGUUCGUCCGCCGGACUCGGAAUGGGGCGAGACUUUGCGAGGGGCCUCGGGGUGCCCGCGGGAAGUCGCGAGCACAGCCGCGUCCAAAAAUAAGCGCCCGAAGGUCGUGGUGCCAAAACCCCCCAGCGGAAAAAUGGCCAAAAAACGGGUGGGCUAUAGCCUUGGUGGGGGGCGCGGGCGAAGUUCGUCCGCCGGACUCGGAAUGGGGCGAGACUUUGCGAGGGGCCUCGGGGUGCCAAAAAUAAGCCGCGGGCAAAGCCGCGCCCAAAAAUAAGCGCCCGAAGGUCGUGGUGCCAAAACCCCCCAGCGGAAAAAUGGCCAAAAAACGGGUGGGCUAUAGCCUUGGUGGGGGGCGCGGGCGAAGUUCGUCCGCCGGACUCGGAAUGGGGCGAGACUUUGCGCAGGGCCUCGGGGUGCCAAAAAUAAGCCGCGGACAAAGCCGCGCCCAAAAAUAAGCGCCCGAAGGUCGUGGUGCCAAAACCCCCCAGCGGAAAAAUGGCCAAAAAACGGGUGGGCUAUAGCCUUGGUGGGGGGCGCGGGCGAAGUUCGUCCGCCGGACUUGGAAUGGGGCGAUACUUUGCGAGGCGCCUCGGGGUGCCCGCGGGAAGUCGCGGGCACAGCCGCGUCCAGAAAUAAGUGCCCGAAGGUCGUGGUGCCAAAACCCCCCAGCGGAAAAAACGCCAAAAAACGGGUGGGCUAUAGCCUUGGUGGGGGGCGCGGGCGAAGUUCGUCCGCCGGACUCGGAAUGGGGCGAGACUUUGCGAGGGGCCUCGGGGUGCCCGCGGGAAGUCGCGGGCACAGCCGCGUCGAGAAAUAAGCGCCCGAAGGUCCUGCUGCCAAAACCCCCCAGCGGAAAAAUGGCCAAAAAACGGGUGGCCUAUAGCCUUGGUGGGGGGCGCGGGCGAAGUUCGUCCGCCGGACUCGGAAUGGGGCGAGACUUUGCGAGGGGUCUCGGGGUGCCAAAAAUAGGCCGCGGGCAAAGCCGCACCCAAAAAUAAUCGCCCAAAGGUCGUGGUGCCAAAACCCCCCAGCGGAAAAAUGGCCAAAAAACGGGUGGGCUAUAGCCUUGGUGGGGGGCGCGGGCGAAGUUCGUCCGCCGGACUCGGAACGGGGCGACACUUUGCGAGGGGCCUCGGGGUGCCAAAAAUAAGCCACGGGCAAAGCCGCGCCCAAAAAUAAGCGCCCGAAGGUCGUGGUGCCAAAACCCCCCAGCGGAAAAAUGGCCAAAAAACGGGUGGGCUAUAGCCUUGGUGGGGGGCGCGGGCGAAGUUCGUCCGCCGGACUCGGAAUGGGGCGAGACUUUGCGCAGGGCCUCGGGGCGCCAAAAAUAAGCCGCGGACAAAGCCGCGCCCAAAAAUAAGCGCCCGAAGGUCGUGGUGCCAAAACCCCCCAGCGGAAAAAUGGCCAAAAAACGGGUGGGCUAUAGCCUUGGUGGGGGGCGCGGGCGAGGUUCGUCCGCCGGACUUGGAAUGGGGCGAGACUUUGCGAGGCGACUCGGGGUGCCCGCGGGAAGUCGCGGGCACAGCCGCGUCCAGAAAUAAGCGCCCGAAGGUCGUGGUGCCAAAACCCCCCGGCGGAAAAAACGCCAAAAAACGGGUGGGCUAUAGCCUUGGUGGGGGGCGCGGGCGAAGUUCGUCCGCCGGACUCGGAAUGGGGCGAGACUUUGCGAGGGGCCUCGGGGUGCCAAAAAUAGGCCGCGGGCAAAGCCGCACCCAAAAAUAAUCGCCCAAAGGUCGUGGUGCCAAAACCCCCCAGCGGAAAAAUGGCCAAAAAACGGGUGGGCUAUAGCCUUGGUGGGGUGCGCGGGCGAAGUUCGUCCGCCGGACUCGGAAUGGGACGAGACUUUGCGAGGGGCCUCGGGGAACCAAAAAUAAGCCGCGGGCAAAGCCGCGCCCAAAAAUAAGCGCCCGAAGCUCGUGGUGCCAAAACCCCCCGGCGGAAAAAUGGCCAAAAAACGGGUGGGCUAUAGCCUUGGUGGGGGGCGCGGGCGAAGUUCGUCCGCCGGACUCGGAAUGGGGCGAGACUUUGCGCGGGGCCUCGGGGUGCCAAAAAUAAGCCGCGGGCAAAGCCGCGCCCAAAAAGAAGCGCCCGAAGGUCGUGGUGCCAAAACCCCCCAGCGGAAAAAUGGCCAAAAAACGGGUGGGCUAUAGCCUUGGUGGGGGGCGCGGGCGAAGUUCGUCCGCCGGACUCGGAAUGGGGCGAGACUUUGCGAGGGGCCUCGGGGUGCCAAAAAUAAGCCGCGGGCAAAGCCGCGCCCAAAAAUAAUCGCCCAAAGGUCGUGGUGCCAAAACCCCCCAGCGGAAAAAUGGCCAAAAAAUGGGUGGGCUAUAGCCUUGGUGGGGGGCGCGGGCGAAGUUCGUCCACCGGACUCGGAAUGGGGCGAGACUUUGCGCGGGGCCUCGGGGUGCCAAAAAUAAGUCGCGGGCAAAGCCGCGCCCAAAAAUAAGCGCCCGAAGGUCGUGGUGCCAAAACCCCCCAGCGGAAAAAUGGCCAAAAAACGGGUGGGCUACAGCCUUGGUGGGGGGCGCGGGCGAAGUUCGUCCGCCGGACUCGGAAUGCGGCGAGACUUUGCGAGGGGCCUCGGGGCACCAAAAAUAAGCCGCGGGCAAAGCCGCGCCCAAAAAUAAGUGCCCGAAGGUCGUGGUGCCAAAACCCCCCAGCGGAAAAAUGGCCAAAAAACGGGUGGGCUAUAGCCUUGGUGGGGGGCGCGGGCGAAGUUCGUCCGCCGGACUCGGAAUGGGGCGAGACAUUGCGAGGGGCCUCGGGGCGCCAAAAAUAAGCCGCGGGCAAAGCCGCGCCCAAAAAUAAGGGCCCGAAGGUCGUGGUGCCAAAACCCCCCAGCGGAAAAAUGGCCAAAAAACGGGUGGGCUAUAGCCUUGGUGGGGGGCGCGGGCGAAGUUCGUCCUCCGGACUUGGAAUGGGGCGAGACUUUGCGCGGGGCCUCGGGGCACCAAAAAUAAGCCGCGGGCAAAGCCGCGCCCAAAAAUAAGCGCCCGAAGGUCGUGGUGCCAAAACCCCCCAGCGGAAAAAUGGCCAAUAAACGGGUGGGCUAUAGCCUUGGUGGGGGGCGCGGGCGAAGUUCGUCCGCCGGACUCGGAAUGGGGUGAGACUUUGCGAGGGGCCUCGAGGUGCCCGCGGGAAGUCGCGGGCACAGCCGCGUCCAGAAAUAAGCGCCCGAAGGUCGUGGUGCCAAAACCCCCCAGCGGAAAAAUGGCCAAAAAACGGGUGGCCUAUAGCCUUGGUGGGGGGCGCGGGCGAAGUUCGUCCGCCGGACUCGGAAUGGGGCGAGACUUUGUGAGGGGCCUCGGGGUGCCAAAAAUAGGCCGCGGGCAAAGCCGCACCCAAAAAUAAUCGCCCAAAGGUCGUGGUGCCAAAACCCCCCAGCGGAAAAAUGGCCAAAAAACGGGUGGGCUAUAGCCUUGGUGGGGUGCGCGGGCGAAGUUCGUCCGCCGGACUCGGAAUAGGACGAGACUUUGCGAGGGGCCUCGGGGAACCAAAAAUAAGCCGCGGGCAAAGCCGCGCCCAAAAAUAAGCGCCCGAAGCUCGUGGUGCCAAAACCCCCCGGCGGAAAAAUGGCCAAAAAACGGGUGGGCUAUAGCCUUGGUGGGGGGCGCGGGCGAAGUUCGUCCGCCGGACUCGGAAUGGGGCGAGACUUUGCGCGGGGCCUCGGGGUGCCAAAAAUAAGCCGCGGGCAAAGCCGCGCCCAAAAAGAAGCGCCCGAAGGUCGUGGUGCCAAAACCCCCCAGCGGAAAAAUGGCCAAAAAACGGGUGGGCUAUAGCCUUGGUGGGGGGCGCGGGCGAAGUUCGUCCGCCGGACUCGGAAUGGGGCGAGACUUUGCGCGGGGCCUCGGGGCACCAAAAAUAAGCCGCGGGCAAAGCCGCGCCCAAAAAUAAGCGCCCGAAGGUCGUGGUGCCAAAACCCCCCAGCGGAAAAAUGGCCAAAAAACGGGUGGGCUAUAGCCUUGGUGGGGGGCGCGGGCGAAGUUCGUCCGCCGGACUCGGAAUGGGGCGAGAAUUUGCGAGGGGCCUCGGGGCGCCCGCGGGAAGUCGCGGGCACAGCCAAGUCCAAAAAUAAGCGCCCGAAGGUCGUGGUGCCAAAACCCCCCAGCGGAAAAAUGGCCAAAAAACGGGUGUGCUAUAGCCUUGGUGGGGGGCGCGGGCGAAGUUCGUCCGCCGGACUCGGAAUGGGGCGAGACUUUACGAGGGGCCUCGGGGUACCCGCGGGAAGUCGCGGGCACAGCCGCGUCCAGAAAUAAGCGCCCGAAGGUCGUGGUGCCAAAACCCCCCAGCGGAAAAAUGGCCAAAAAACGGGUGGGCUAUAGCCUUGGUGGGGGGCGCGGGCGAAGUUCGUCCGCCGGACUCGAAAUGGGGCGAGACUUUGCGAGGGGCCUCGGGGCACCAAAAAUAAGCCGCGGGCAAAGCCGCGCCCGAAGGUCGUGGUGCCAAAACCCCCCAGCGGAAAAAUGGCCAAAAAACGGGUGGGCUAUAGCCUUGGUGGGGGGCGCAGGCGAAGUUCGUCCGCUGGACUCGGAAUGGGGCGAGACUUUACGAGGGGCCUCGGGGCGCCAAAAAUAAGCCGCAGGCAAAGCCGCGCCCAAAAAUAAGUGCCCGAAGGUCGUGGUGCCAAAACCCCCCAGCCGAAAAAUGGCCAAAAAACGGGUGGGCUAUAGCCUUGGUGGGGGGCGCGGGCGAAGUUCGUCCGCCGGACUCAGAAUGGGGCGAGCCUUUGCGAGGUGCCUCGGGGUGCCAAAAAUAAGCCGCGGGCAAAGCCGCGCCCAAAAAUAAUUGCCCAAAGGUCGUGGUGCCAAAACCCCCCAGCGGAAAAAUGGCCAAAAAACGGGUGGGCUAUAGCCUUGGUGGGGGGCUCGGGGAAGUUCGUCCGCGGACUCGGAAUGGGGCGCGACUUUGCGAGGGGCCUCGGGGUGCCCGCGGGAAGUCGCGGGCACAGCCGCGCCCAAAAAUAAGCGCCCGAAGGUCGUGGUGCCCAAACCUCCCAGCGGAAAAAUGGCCAAAAAACGGGUGGGCUAUAGCCUUGGUGGGGGGCGCGGGCGAAGUUCGUCCGCCGGACUCGGAAUGGGGCGAGACUUUACGAGGGGCCUCGGGGUGCCCGCGGGAAGUCGCGGGCACAGCCGCGUCCAGAAAUAAGCGCCCGAAGGUCGUGGUGCCAAAACCCCCCGGCGGAAAAAUGGCCAAAAAACGGGUGGGCUAUAGCCUUGGUGGGGGGCGCGGGCGAAGUUCGUCCGCCGGACUCGGAAUGGGGCGAGACUUUGCGCGGGGCCUCGGGUCGCCAAAAAUAAGCCGCGGGCAAAGCCGCGCCCAAAAAUAAGCGCCCGAAGGUCGUGGUGCCAAAACCCCCCAGCGGAAAAAUGGCCAAAAAACGGGUGGGCUAUAGCCUUGGUGGGGGGCGCGGGCGAAGUUCGUCCGCCGGACUUGGAAUGGGGCGAGACUUUGCGCAGGGCCUCGGGGUGCCCGCGGGAAGUCGCGGGCACAGCCGCGUCCAGAAAUAAGCGCCCGAAGGUCGUGGUGCCAAAACCCCCCAGCGGAAAAAUGGCCAAAAAACGGGUGGGCUAUAGCCUUGGUGGGGGGCGCGUGCGAAGUUCGUCCGCCGGACACGGAGUGGGACGAGACUUUGCGAGGGGCCUCGGGGCACCAAAAAUAAGCCGCAGGCAAAGCCGCGCCCAAAAAUAAGCGCCCGAAGGUCGUGGUGCCAAAACCCCCCAGCGGAAAAAUGGCCAAAAAACGGGUGGGCUAUAGCCUUGGUGGGGGGCGCGGGCGAAGUUCGUCCGCCGGACUCGGAAUGGGGCGAGACUUUACGAGGGGCCUCGGGGUGCCCGCGGGAAGUCGCGGGCACAGCCGCGUCCAGAAAUAAGCGCCCGAAGGUCGUGGUGCCAAAACCCCCCAGCGGAAAAAUGGCCAAAAAACGGGUGGGCUAUAGCCUUGGUGGGGGGCGCGGGCGAAGUUCGUCCGCCGGACUCGGAAUGGGGCGAGACUUUGCGAGGGGCCUCGGGGUGCCAAAAAUAAGCCGCGGGCAAAGCCGCGCCCAAAAAUAAGCACCCAAAGGUCGUGGUGCCAAAACCCCCCAACGGAAAAAUGGCCAAAAAACGGGUGGGCUAUAGCCUUGGUGGGGGGCGCAGGCGAAGUUCGUCCGCCGGACUCGGAAUGGGGCGAGCCUUUGCGAGGGGCCUCGGGGUGCCAAAAAUAAGCCGCGGCCAAGGCCGUGCCCAAAAAUAAGCGCCCGAAGGUCGUGGUGCCAAAACCCCCCAGCGGAAAAAUGGCCAAAAAACGGGUGGGCUAUAGCCUUGGUGGGGGGCGCGGGCGAAGUUCGUCCGCCGGACUCGGAAUGGGGCGAGACUUUGCGAGGGGCCUCGGGGUGCCCGCGGGAAGUCGCGGGAACAACCGCGUCCAAAAAUAAACGCCCGAAGGUCGUGGUGCCAAAACCCCCUAGCGGAAAAAUGGCCAAAAAACGGGUGGGCUAUAGCCUUGGUGGUGGGCG